GUUUCCAUUCCUUGUUCUUACACAGCUUCCGUUCCGUUCCGUUCCUGCUUCCCUUCCGUUCCGUUCACUGUUCCGUUCACUGCUUCCCUUCCGUUCCGCACGCACCCUUCCAGAUCAGAUCACUGUUUCCAUUCCCUGUUCUUACACAGCUUCCGUUCCGUUCCGUUCACUGCUUCCCUUCCGUUCCGUUCACUGCUUCCAUUCCGUUCUCACAUAUUGUGAAAUACUGAAGCUCUCACCAGAUCAGAUCGAAGUGACCAAGCACCGUCUCUCUCUCCGGCGCAGGACGACUCUCAUCUCGAUCACACACGGACACGAGUUUUGAUCAAAAGAAGAAUGGAAGAUUCAGAUUAGAUGAUUUCAUAUCUCUUUGUAUAUUUUUGCAGUCAGCUCGUAAUAUGUUUGAUUCAUUUGAUACUGCUAAGCAGGGCCGGGUGACUCUUGAUCUCAACCAAUUUGUAUAUUGCAGUGAGUGUUUUUUUUUUAA